rnacentral:rRNA from 1 species
CACGUAGGGUGCGAGCGUUGUCCGGAAUUAUUGGGCGUAAAGAGCUCGUAGGCGGUGUGUCGCGUCGGCCGUGAAAACCUGCAGCUUAACUGUGGGCUUGCGGUCGAUACGGGCAUGACUGGAGUUCGGCAGGGGAGACUGGAAUUCCUGGUGUAGCGGUGAAAUGCGCAGAUAUCAGGAGGAACACCGGUGGCGAAGGUGGGUCUCUGGGCCGAUACUGACGCUGAGGAGCGAAAGCGUGGGGAGCGAACAGG